rnacentral:rRNA from 1 species
GACGAACGCUGGCGGCGUGCUUAACACAUGCAAGUCGAACGGAAAGGCCCUGCUUUUGUGGGGUGCUCGAGUGGCGAACGGGUGAGUAACACGUGAGUAACCUGCCCUUGACUUUGGGAUAACUUCAGGAAACUGGGGCUAAUACCGGAUAGGCGCUCCUGCUGCAUGGUUGGGGUUGGAAAGUUUCGGCUGUUGAUGAUGGACUCGCGGCUUAUCAGCUUGUUGGUGGGGUAGUGGCUUACCAAGGCUUGGACGGGUAGCCGGCCGGAGACGGUGACCGGCCACAUUGCGAUAGAGAUACCGCCAGGAAUCCUACGGGCGGCAGCAGUGCCGGAUGUGGCACAAUGGGCGGAAGCCUGAAGCAGCGACGCCGCGUGCGCAAUGACGGCCGUAGGAAUGUAACCCGCAUUAGCAUGUAACGAAGCGUAAGUGACGGUAAUGGCUAAAGAAGCACCGGCUAACUACGUG